rnacentral:rRNA from 1 species
UACGUAGGGAGCAAGCGUUGUCCGGAAUCAUUGGGCGUAAAGCGCGCGUAGGCGGCCCCGUAAGUCCGCUGUGAAAGUCAAAGGCUCAACCUUUGAAAGCCGGUGGAUACUGUGGGGCUAGAGUCCGGAAGAGGCGAGUGGAAUUCCUGGUGUAGCGGUGGAAUGCGCAGAUAUCAGGAGGAACACCGGUGGCGAAGGCAGGCUC